AUUGAACGCUGGCGGCAUGCUUUACACAUGCAAGUCGAACGGCAGCACGGACUUCGGUCUGGUGGCGAGUGGCGAACGGGUGAGUAAUACAUCGGAACGUGCCCAGUUGUGGGGGAUAACUACUCGAAAGAGUAGCUAAUACCGCAUGAGAACUGAGGUUGAAAGCAGGGGAUCGUAAGACCUUGCGCAACUGGAGCGGCCGAUGGCAGAUUAGGUAGUUGGUGGGAUAAAAGCUUACUAAGCCGACGAUCUGUAGCUGGUCUGAGAGGACGACCAGCCACACUGGGACUGAGACACGGCCCAGACGCCUACGGGAGGCAGCAGUGGGGAAAUUUGGACAAUGGGCGAAAGCCUGAUCCAGCAAUGCCGCGUGCAGGAUGAAGGCCUUCGGGUUGUAAACUGCUUUUGUACGGAACGAAAAGCUUCGGGCUAAUACCCUGGAGUCAUGACGGUACCGUAAGAAUAAGCACCGGCUAACUACGUGCCAGCCGCCGCGGUAAGAC
rnacentral:rRNA from 1 species